UACGUAGGGUGCAAGCGUUGUCCGGAAUUAUUGGGCGUAAAGAGCUCGUAGGCGGUUUGUCGCGUCUGCUGUGAAAAUCCAGGGCUUAACCCUGGACCUGCAGUGGGUACGGGCAGACUAGAGUGCGGUAGGGGAGAUCGGAAUUCCUGGUGUAGCGGUGAAAUGCGUAGAUAUCAUCUGGAACGCCAAUGGUGAAAACAGCUCGCUGGGGGUGUGCAGACGCUGAGACACGAAAGCCAGGGGAGCGAACGGG
rnacentral:rRNA from 1 species